rnacentral:rRNA from 1 species
UACGUAGGGGGCUAGCGUUGUCCGGAAUCAUUGGGCGUAAAGAGCGUGUAGGCGGUCCGGUAAGUCCGCUGUGAAAGUCGGGGGCUCAACCCUCGGAUGCCGGUGGAUACUGUCGGGCUAGAGUACGGAAGAGGCGAGUGGAAUUCCCGGUGUAGCGGUGAAAUGCGCAGAUAUCGGGAGGAACACCAAUGGCGAAGGCAGCUCGCUGGGACGUUACUGACGCUGAGACGCGAAAGCGUGGGGAGCAACAGG